AGUGUCCAUGCUACAUUAAGCUGACAGAGAAGGUGCAAAUUGUUAUUAAGUAUCCAUUGUUUGGUUUUUUGUGUCAUCAGAAUGUGGAAUGUAAUGGUCCUCUAUUGUGAGGCCAAAGGUGGUUGAGAAGGAAAUGAAGGGUUUUCCCUUGUACAGUGCUAGAUAGACUCCAGGCAGAUCAUGAGGGAGGGAGAGCACAUGGUGGGACCAAUGGAUACUGCUAGCAAAAGUCACAGAUUAGAGGCGCAGGGGAGCAUAUACACCUACAGUAGAGUACCCAUACGGACACUUCUCAAAAGAACUAACCAGAAGAUACACAGAAAAUGACUACAGACUAAACCAUGUAACCCCAUUUCUCUCUUGAAGCCCUCGAGUGCACUGCAUGGGAGAAGGCAAAGGCAUGUCUGAAGGCAAAGAGUCAGAGCUGGAAUUCAGAGAACAAGCUUGUAUUCGAGGAUCUCCUAUUUUACACAAGACUCUAAUGAAAUAUCCAAACAAAUACUAAAUUGGGCUGUCUCCGAGUCAUGUAAAGUGUUGUGCUGCCGAA